GGGAAACGUUCCAGCAAAACUAGGCUAUAAGAAGGCCUCCAUGUUUCUGUUUGUCCCUCUUGUUCUCUUGCUUUUUGGCGUUGAAGGAACAAUCCCCAGCUAACCAGGGGAGAUGAGAGGAACGUGGAGCCCACUCGGACCCAGACGGAAGCUCGACCACCGGCAGGUCUCAGCCAGAGCCUGCAAACAUCUCGAGCCUGCAGCCUCCUUCCUCUCUGUUGGCCUUUCGAGCAAGCUGUUACCUGUUUCUGCUGCGUGAGCGGGUCCUAAGAGGAAGGCCUGACGUGCGUCGGAUGCUUCGGACCUGAGAUGUCACCAAGAACUUUUGCACGUGCUGGGGCAACCACCCAGUGAGAGAGCAGCCCCGUUCCCGUUUCGUGGAUGAGGAGGCCAGAGAGGGAGGAGCUGCAAAGAGGGAGCUGGCGCUGAUACAAAUUAUUUUGGAUUCCGGAACACUGACCGUCAGCGACUUUGGCAGCAGGUGAAUUUCCAGUCUUGUCUUACAUAAGGAAACACCAAGUUCACGUUUCCAAACAUACGAGAAAACCAUUCCUCCGCGGUGACCCGCCAUCAGAAGGGCGACAUGAGGACACGUGGUGGAGCAGGGCUGAGCAGGGAGGGGGCUCGGGGCGGCCGUGACAGUGGCCAGCCCCCAAAGGCUGGCGUGGAUGCCCGUAGCCAUGGUGCUGAGAGCCUGCAAAGAGCUGGCCUUGCUCCAGGCCCAGGGCCCACGCCGUCUCAUGUAACCAUCACAGACGCCCUGGAGGCAAGGGCCACCGUUCCUGAUCUAGAGAAGAGGAAUCUGAGGCUUGGACCCCAAGGCCCCAGGUCCCCAAGUCAGGAGUGUCGGAACGCGAGCCUUGUUCACCGUACCACGAAAUGAGUUUCCCCUGGGAGGUGAUGAGCGCCGUUGAAGCAGUGACCUGGUUGUUGUAUAAUUGGUAACAAACCUCAGGCAGGGGUUGGACUAAAUGCCUUUGGUCUCAGGCGCUUGAAGAUUCUGACCAACCUCUGUGCACAUUGUCUAGAGGAAGACCAGAGUUUCCCUGGGUCUCCAGUAGGCAUCUGGAAGGAGCUCACCUGGGAAAGGAGAUUAUCUGACUGGUACCGACAGCAACAUCAUUUGUCGGGAGGAGGAAUUGGGGAAAGCCUCAGUGCCCAUCGGGAAGAGUCUAGGGGACGCCUGGGUGGCUCAGUUGGUAAAGCGUCAGAC